UCGCACGUCUCGUCCGUCAACACGGAGAUGAAUCACAGAUUGGAGGAAUUUACUGGACUCGAGCGGAUGUUUGGGAUCGCUGGGAGGCCUUGUCUUCCUCUUAGUUUUCAUGCAUUUUGGUGAUAGACGUACCUGUAAAGGAAUCGGAAGCAGAAAGAGAGCGGAUGAGUGGAAAGUAUCGGAAAAACACCACAGAAGUCAGUGGUGGUGUGGACACGCCAGGAGCAGAUUUGGGAUAUUUGGAGAAAUGAUGGGGGAGAUUUGAUCAUUUGAGGACCUCAAACACCAGCCGUCCGAGCUCUCCCAUACAUCCCAGAAGCUUCCCGAAAACAAGCCAACACGAAUCUCUCCCUGCGCUACCCACAAUCCUUAUCUGCAAAGUAAAUAAGGGCUCCCAUCCUGUCUGGAGGGGUUUGUCUCUUACUACACCGAGCUCCGUCGGCCGACCGUCCAUAAAGCGGAGGAAAGGAGAGGCAAGGUGAAGGAAGGCUUUGUGCAAAUGUUGCAUAAGAAUGUUGAAACAUUGUUUCAAAAAAGGAACGAAGUACUGUACAAACAAUGUGUGUAUUGCAAGAUUCUUGGAGCAUUCAAAGAAAAGGUUUGUG
ensembl:lncRNA